GGGGAUAACUACUGGAAACGGUAGCUAAUACCGCAUGACGUCGCAAGACCAAUGGGGGACUUUCGGGCCUCACGCCAUCGGAUGUGCCCAGAUGGGAUUAGCUAGUAGGUGGUAAUGGCUCACCUAGGCGACGAUCCCUAGCUGGUCUGAGAGGAUGACCAGCCACACGAACUGAGACACGGUCCAGACUCCUACGGGAGGCAGCAGUGGGGAAUAUUGCACAAUGCGCAGGCCUGAACCAGCCAUGCCGCGUGGAGGACGAAGGCCCUCCGGGUCGUAAACUCUUUACCCGGGACGAAAAAAGCCCUUUUGAGGGCACUUGACGGUACCGGGGGAAUAAGCCGGCUAACUCCGUGCCAGCAGCCGCGGUAAUACGGAGGGUGCGAGCGUUAUCCGGAUUCUGGGUUUAAAGGGUGCGCAGGCGGGCUUUUAAGUCAGCGGUGAAACCCGCGGGCUCACCGCGGACUGCCGAUGAUACUAGGGGCCUUGGAUGUCGCUGAGGGCAGCGGAAUGGGGUGUAGCGGUGAAAUGCAUAGAUAUGCCCCGGAACACCGAUUGCGGAGGCAGCUGCCUAGGACGAUCGACGCUGAGGCACGAAAGCGUGGGUAGCGAGCAGGAUUAGAUACCCUGGUCCCACGCCCUAAACGAUGAUUACUCGACGUCCGCGGCAUACUGUGGGCGUCCAAGCGA
rnacentral:rRNA from 1 species